rnacentral:rRNA from 2 species
GCAUAUCAAUAAGCGGAGGAAAAGAAACCAACAGGGAUUGCCUCAGUAACGGCGAGUGAAGCGGCAACAGCUCAAAUUUGAAAUCUGGCUCUCGGGCCCGAGUUGUAAUUUGCAGAGGAUGUUUCUGGCGAGGUGCCUUCCGAGUUCCCUGGAACGGGACGCCAUAGAGGGUGAGAGCCCCGUCCGGUUGGUCGCUAAGCCUCUGUGAAACUCCUUCGACGAGUCGAGUAGUUUGGGAAUGCUGCUCUAAAUGGGAGGUAUACGUCUUCUAAAGCUAAAUACCGGCCAGAGACCGAUAGCGCACAAGUAGAGUGAUCGAAAGAUGAAAAGCACUUUGAAAAGAGGGUUAAAUAGUACGUGAAAUUGUUGAAAGGGAAGCGUUUAUGACCAGACUUGGGCCGGUUGAUCAUCCAUCGUUCUCGGUGGUGCACUCUGCCGGCUCAGGCCAGCAUCAGUUUGGCUUGGGGGAUAAAGGUUUCGGGAAUGUGGCUCCCUCGGGAGUGUUAUAGCCCGUUGCGUAAUACCCUGGGCUAGACUGAGGUUCGCGCUCCGCAAGGAUGCUGGCGUAAUGGUCAUCAGCGACCCGUCUUGAAACACGGACC